UACGUAGGCAGCGAGCGUUGUUCGGAGUUACUGGGCGUAAAGAGUGCGUAGGCGGUUUUCUAAGUUUGGUGUGAAAUCUCCCGGCUUAACUGGGAGGGUGCGCCGAAGACUGGAAGGCUUGAGUAUGGGAGAGGUAAGCGGAAUUCCUGGUGUAGCGGUGAAAUGCGUAGAUAUCAGGAGGAACACCUGCGGUGUAGACGGCUUACUGGACCAUAACUGACGCUGAGGCACGAAAGCGUGGGCAGCAAACAGG
rnacentral:rRNA from 1 species